UACGUAGGGUGCAAGCGUUGUCCGGAAUUAUUGGGCGUAAAGAGCUCGUAGGCGGUCUGUCACGUCGGCUGUGAAAUCCCGAGGCUCAACCUCGGGUCUGCAGUCGAUACGGGCAAACUAGAGUAUUGCAGGGGAGACUGGAAAUUCCUGGUGUAGCGGUGAAAUGCGCAGAUAUCAGGAGGAACACCGGUGGCGAAGGCGGGUCUCUGGGGCAAGUUGACUG
rnacentral:rRNA from 1 species